rnacentral:rRNA from 1 species
GAUUAAGCUAAUAAGGGCAUAGGGAGGAUGCCUUGGCACCAAGCGCCGAAGAAGGACGUGACAAGCUGCGAAAAGCCACGGGGAGCUGCAAAUGAGCAUUGAUCCGUGGAUAUCCGAAUGAGGGAACUCAACAGUGGUAAUGCGCUGUUAACCUUACAUGAAUCAAUAGUGUAAGGUGGGGAACCCGGGGAACUGAAACAUCUAAGUACCCGGAGGAAAAGAAAGAAAACGAUCGAUUUCCUGAGUAGUGGUGAGCGAAAGGGAAAGAGCCCAAACCUGAAGAUAGCAAUAUUUUCAGGGGUGACGGACUCACGUAAGCAAGAAAUCAAUAUAGACGAACACAGUUGGAAAGCUGGACGAAACGAAGUAAAAGUCUUGUAGUUGAAAUAUUGACGAAGCGGUGAGUAUCCAGAGUACCACAGGACACGAGGAAUCCGGUGGGAAGACAGGAGGACCAUCUCCUAAGGCUAAAUACGACUUGGUGACCGAUAGAGUAUAGUACCGUGAGGGAAAGGUGAAAA